rnacentral:lncRNA from 1 species
CCAAAAGCUUGGAAUACCUAAGAAAAGGCUCACAGAUCAUAUGAAGCCCAAGAAGAAUGAAGACCAAAAUAUAGUCUAUCAUGGCUGUUCUCUGAGAGUUUCCAUCCACCAAUUGACUUAGGCAGAUGAAACCGCCAAAGAUUGGAUGGAACUUGAGGAUUCUUAUGGAAGAAUAGGAUGAGGAUUGCACUCCCUAAGGGGAUAGGAACUCCACAGAAUGACCAACAGAGUCAACAAACCUGGACCCUUGGAGCUCUCAAAGACUAAACCACCAGCCAACGAACAUAAAGAGGAUGAACCUAGGACUCCCCUCAUAUUUGUAGCAGAUGCACAGCUUGUUCUCCAUGUGGGUUCCAAACAACUGGAAUGGGGGUUAUCUCAAAAGCAUUUGGCUGUAUUUGGAACAUGUUCUUCUAUCUGGGUUGCCUUGUCUAACCUUAGUGGGAAAGCACUAAGCACCUAGCUUCACGGAGACUUGAAGUUACAAGUCUAUCACACAAUCAAAUCCAAGAGCUGUUCCCACAGAAGGAUACAGAAAGAUACAUUGGGGAAAUUUAAAAAUCAUAUAGUGACCUGCUACACAUGAUGAAAUCAGUUAAUGAAAUCCUAAUGAAGAGCUAUAUACCAAAUAAUUAUGAGAAUGAUCAUCUUGGAAUA